GCGAGAAAAGGGGGGCAACUCCCUGAGUAAAGCGGCGCACGGGUGAGUAACACGUAGGUAAUCUACCCUCGAGUCCAGGAUAACCUACCGAAAGGUGGGCUAAUACCGGAUAUGACCACGGGAGUUUCGGCUCCUGCGGUGAAAGGUGGCCUCUGCUUGCAAGCUACUGCUCGGAGAUGAGCCUGCGGGCCAUUAGCUAGUUGGUGAGGUAACGGCUCACCAAGGCGAUGAUGGCUAGCUGGUCUGAGAGGAUGGCCAGCCACACUGGGACUGAAACACGGCCCAGACUCCUACGGGAGGCAGCAGUGGGGGAUAUUGCGCAAUGGGCGAAAGCCUGACGCAGCGACGCCGCGUGGGUGAUGAAGGCCUUCGGGUCGUAAAGCCCUGUCGAGGGGAACGAAACGGUCUCGACCUAACACGUCGAGUCCCUGACGGUACCCCUAAAGGAAGCACCGGCUAACUCCGUGCCAGCAGCCGCGGUAAUACGGAGGGUGCAAGCGUUGUUCGGAAUCACUGGGCCGUAAAGGGCGUGUAGGCGGUCCGCUAAGUCUGAUGUGAAAGCCCG
rnacentral:rRNA from 1 species